CUGGAAAGGCCGCCGGGCUGCGAAAGCAGAGACUGCGGACGGACAAACCGCCAAAGCACUUUCGCUCCUUCCCGAGAGGGAGAGAGUGAGCGAGAAAAAGAAGCAAGAUGGCGGCUAGCCAGCCCCUACGUGCUACGUCAUGACGCUACGUACGGAAGGCAACGCGCAAGACCGCCCUCCGGCGCAGAUCACGUGACGCCUCCGUGGCGGCCCGACGCUGAUGGAGUGCAACGGUGCCUCCUUCUGGAUGGAGGGAGUUCCUGCAAGUGUAGGCAUCUUUGCAGGCUGUAUCUGUAACCUGGGAGGAUUCCAGAAACCUUGAGUUGACUGCAGUUACAAAUUGGCAUGCCUCAGUGAGAUGAUCCCUGUGGUGUCUUGUGGAUAGGAUUUCUUUCUUAAGGAUGAACGACAUUACGUUGUGUCGGGGGCGCCUAGGUCAAUUGCACAUCUUGGCCAACGUGAACAGUGCCUCUGCAACCACGGAAGUGCAGGAGUCUGAUGUGCUGCUUUCGUUUGCUUUGGUCAUACACCUAGAAGUAGGACAGCUGAAUCAUCUGUGCUGAGGAUGGAAUCCUGGGUCUUAUGCAUGCCAGGCAAGUGCCUUCCUACUGAGCUACACCCCCAGCCCCUGGUCUUCAGUUUCCUUGUCUGAAAAUGAGCAGACUGGACUCAGUGACCUCAACAGUCUUCUUCCAGUUCCAUGCUUCUUCAGUCAUGCUCCUUGGGAAUAGGACUGUAUCGCUGGUGGGAGUGUGGACUGCUGCAGCCACU